rnacentral:rRNA from 1 species
GACGAACCGUCCAAACGUUAGUCGGAAUUACUGGGCUUAAAGGGUGCGUAGGCGGCCUGACAAGUUGGGUGUGAAAUACCUCGGCUCAACCGAGGAACAGCGCUCAAAACUGUCAGGCUUGAGGGAGAUAGAGGUGAGCGGAACUUAAGGUGGAGCGGUGAAAUGCGUUGAUAUCUUAAGGAACACCCGUGGCGAAAGCGGCUCACUGGAUCUCUUCUGACGCUCAUGCACGAAAGCUAGGGGAGCAAACGGG